rnacentral:rRNA from 1 species
UAAUACGGAGGGUGCAAGCGUUACUCGGAAUCACUGGGCGUAAAGGACGCGUAGGCGGGUUGGAAAGUCAGAUGUGAAAUCCUACAGCUUAACUGUAGAACUGCAUUUGAAACUUCCAACCUAGAGUAUGGGAGGGGGAGAUGGAAUUAGUGGUGUAGGGGUAAAAUCCGUAGAUAUCACUAGGAAUACCGAAAGCGAAGGCGAUCUCCUGGAACAUUACUGACGCUAAGGCGUGAAAGCGUGGGGAGCAAACGGGAUUAGAUACCCCGGUAGUCCACGCCCUAAACGAUGAACACUAGUCGUCGGGAUGCUUGUCAUCUCGGUGAUGCACUUAACAGAUUAAGUGUUCCGCCUGGGGAGUACGGUCGCAAGAUUA